AAUUAAAACAAUCUUUACCAUUUAGUGAUAACAAGCACUUUAUUUUACAUUUUAAUAUUUUAUGAUGUAUUUAAAUGAGUAGUUAUUGUUGCAAACUCCAUUAGAAAUUUGAAUUGAGAUCAGUUUUGGAAACAGGGAAAGGGGGAUGUGAAAACAAAUGGGGGUGGGGGGUUAAAUUUUUCUCAUUUCAGAUUUCAUAAAUAAAAAGAAAAUUUCUUGAAACAUUUUUUUGAGAGGAUUAAUAUUCAACAGCAUAGUGAAUUGCUCAAAGGCAAAAAAUAUUUUUAAGUUCAUUAGACCACAUUCAUUCUGUGUCAACUAUUUAAUCACAAUCCAAAUUUAGAGCUGAAUCCCGCUUGAAUGUUGUGUCCAUACUUGCCCCAACCGUUCAGGGUUCAACCUCUCCGGUCGUAUAAAGCUGCACCCUGCGGAGCAUCUGGUUUUAAGUGGAAGAACUUUAAAAAGUAGUUCUGAUUAUAAUUUUAAGUAACUUUAAUCUAUGGGCUUAAUCAUUACUUCAUAUUAGGACCAAAAGGAUAUUAAUGGCAUAUAUAUGACUGUUUAAACUGGAAGAAUAGAAACUGGGAUGUUUGAUGGUUUUAUGAUGUUGUGUGUUUUAGAUUUAUUCAUUCUUGUUAGACAAGACAACAUUGAAGCAGAUUGUUUCUUUAUGUUAGACUAUUGUAAUUUGGUUGUACAAAAAAAAAUCAGUAAGAAGAUACUCAAAUUAGGUUUUAGAGUAAAUAGUGCACUCAGUGCUAUCAAAUUAUUUUCCUGUACUCAUUGGCUGGUAGGUUAAUUUUUUAACUGCCUUUUUAACAGCUUAAUCUUACAAUUCAAAGAUUUGAUUGUUUCUUCAAUUAUUGUUUAAGUCAAUUAUAUUUGCUCUUUUUUCUUGAGAUGAUUAAGAUAAUAUUUUUUUAAUUUAUUACAUAUUUCACUAAUUUAACAAUGGUUUUGUCUCAAGAAGAGACAAUCCUCAUAGGUCUAUCCAGUGAUUGGGUUGUCUUCAAGGGAGACAAUCCUCAUAGGUCUAUCCAGUGAUUGGGUUGUCUUCAAGGGAGACAAUCCUCACAGGUCUAUCCAGUGAUUGGGUUAUCCUCAAGGGAGACAAUCCUCACAGGUCUAUCCAGUGAUUGGGUUAUCCGCAAGGGAGACAAUCCUCAUAGGUCUACCCAGUGAUUGGGUUAUCCUUCAUAAAUGAAUUAAAGCAACUGGAACUUUUCCUAAUAUAACAUGUAAAUAUGCUUUUGGACUGGUAUAGCUACACGUAGUACUGUAACAGUUAAACAUUUUGUACUUCAAAACAUGAUCAAGUCAGUUCUCCUUUUUUACUUGAUUUGUACACGUAUAAGUGUACACUACUUAUGCUGUUAAAUUAAUACAGAAAGUAGAAAACAUUUUCUGUCUUCUGCUUGGUAAGAUCAUUUUCAUUGAUGCAAUGAUUACUUGUUUUACUUAUUUACGAAUUGGAAUUGAUACAUGCAGAGUGUUUUUGUAUUUGAAACUGUUUAUCCACUAGUCAAAUUUAAUUUACUCAGAUUCUGCCUAGCAGAACAUCCAUGCAAAUUAAUUUUCAAUAAUUGAAACAUUUUCUUGAAAUUAAUUUUAGUAUUAGUAGCUAAAAAUCUAUUUUUGCUUGUUUAACAAGCUUUGAAGUAUAUGUUGAGAUGAAUCAUACACAGUUAUUCUGAAAUCCAUAGAGUAGUGCUUAUCAUAGAUCCUUAUGCUAGUUCAUAUAGGAUCAACCGUCCAUCAUGAUCACAUUUAUCAUAAUCAUGAUUAUGAGUGCUUAAAGCCAAUUUUUAUUGUACAUUGUUGUAUGUUGUUUUGCUUGCCAAAGGCAAACUGUUGACUUGUUGGACAAUUGAUAUUUGAUGCAAUAAAAUUGUUUG
rnacentral:lncRNA from 1 species